GUCUUCCUGGUUGCUGUCAGAACCCCUAGAAUCUCCGCUGGUAGUGGGGUUGGAUCCUCCACCCUGUCAGAAGUCCAGAUGUAGAACCGUGCCUGCUUCUUGAGACAGGAAGUGAGUGUUGUAAGGAAUCUGGAGAAAUGACACAAGCAAUCAGGACAUAUGAAAACUACAGAAGGAAAUCCCUUUAUUGAUUGAAGCAGAGCUGGUGUUUUGCUCUUUAAAAAACAUGCAGAUCUAGUUGAAGUAAGGAAAAUGGCAGUAGUUAAUGGAAAAUUAGACUGGAAUCAGGAAAUUAAGAGCAUCGCCAAAAAGGGGAGGAGGAGGAAUCUAACCAGAUCAGAAGUUUUCUACAGGAAGCAAGUCUGUGGAUGAGAAAUGGGAUUACAUUUCUACAAAACGCUGAAGAUUACCAAUCAUUUCCCUUUAAAAAAAAAUUAGAACUUGCCAUAGAUGAACAGAAUGAUUUUUUAAAAUUUACAAAAUGGUCUAAAUGGUAUGUCCUUGCUGUUGGCAGAAAAAUGAGAUAUCACCCAAUUACAUUGUUCAUCUUUUCUUUGAAAAAAUACAAAAAUUAAAAUUUCCACACAA